UACGUAGGGUGCAAGCGUUACUCGGAAUUACUGGGCGUAAAGCGUGCGCAGGCGGCUAUGCAAGACAGAUGUGAAAUCCCCGGGCUUAACCUGGGAAUUGCAUUUGUGACUGCACGGCUAGAGUGUGUCAGAGGGGGGUAGAAUUCCACGUGUAGCAGUGAAAUGCGUAGAUAUGUGGAGGAAUACCGAUGGCGAAGGCAGCCCCCUGGGAUAACACUGACGCUCAUGCACGAAAGCGUGGGGAGCAAACAGG
rnacentral:rRNA from 1 species